ensembl:snRNA U6 U6 spliceosomal RNA
GUGCUCACUUCAACACCAGAUAUACUAAAACUGAAAUGAUAUAGAGAAGAUUAGCAUGGCCCUGUGCAAGGUCGACACACAAAUUCAUGAAAUGUUCUAUAUUUUC